UACAGAGGUGUCAAGCGUUGUUCGGAAUCAUUGGGCGUAAAGGGUGCGUAGGCGGCGUGGUAAGUCGGAUGUGAAAUUUCGGAGCUUAACUCCGAAACUGCAUUCGAUACUGCGGUGCUUGAGGACGGGAGAGGAGACUGGAAUUCAUGGUGUAGCAGUGAAAUGCGUAGAGAUCAUGAGGAAGACCAGUGGCGAAGGCGGGUCUCUGGACAGUUCCUGACACUGAGACACGAAGGCCAGGGGAGCAAACGGG
rnacentral:rRNA from 1 species